rnacentral:misc_RNA from 1 species
GAUGAAGAACGUAGCGAAAUGCGAUAAGUAAUGUGAAUUGCAGAAUUCAGUGAAUCAUCGAAUCUUUGAACGCACAUUGCGCCCGCUGGAAUUCCAGCGGGCAUGCCUGUUCGAGCGUCAUUUCACCCCUCAAGCCUUGCUUGGUGUUGGAGCACUACCGUUUGUAUAAAGCGGUAGGCUCUGAAAUUCAGUGGCGGGCUCGCUAAGACUCUGAGCGUAGUAGUUUAGCACCUCGCUUUGGAAGGAUUAGCGGUGCUCUUGCCGUAAAACCCCCCAACUUCUGAAUUUUGACCUCGGAUCAGGUAGGAAUACCCGCUGAACUUAAGCAUAUCAAUAAGCGGAGGA